rnacentral:rRNA from 1 species
GUGAGGAAUAUUGCGCAAUGGACGAAAGUCUGACGCAGCCAUGCCGCGUGCAGGAUGACGGCCCUACGGGUUGUAAACUGCUUUUAUACAGGAAGAACCUCCCGCACGUGUGCGGGACUGACGGUACUGUAGGAAUAAGCAUCGGCUAACUCCGUGCCAGCAGCCGCGGUAAUACGGAGGAUGCAAGCGUUAUCCGGAUUUAUUGGGUUUAAAGGGUGCGUAGGCGGAAUGAUAAGUCAGUGGUGAAAUCUUGCAGCUUAACUGUAAAAUUGCCAUUGAUACUGUUGUUCUUGAGUACGGUUGAGGUAGGCGGAAUGUGUAAUGUAGCGGUGAAAUGCUUAGAUAUUACACAGAACACCGAUUGCGUAGGCAGCUUACUAAGCCGCAACUGACGCUGAGGCACGAAAGCGUGGGGAUCGAACAGGAUUAGAAACCCGAGUAGUCC